rnacentral:lncRNA from 1 species
GAAAAUUGGAGGCAGACUACAUUUCUUGCCCACUUCAAAUUAGUUUAAUUUGUCUCAUUGCAAUUGUACAGCUAAUUGUGGAAAAAUUGAUAAUUUUUUUUUUAAAAAACUUCGUAGCUAUUCAUAACUUAGAUCCCAACAAGCUAAAAUUAACUAUAAUUCUUUUCUUAGUAUUGACAAUGUCAGUAUACAAUUCCAAAUGCACAUGAUGCUCUUAGUUAUGCAUGGCAAUCCAAGGCAUAGCCCAUUAAAAAAAUUUCAAAACGAAUUUUCUCACCCAUCUUUCUCUAAAGAUCUUAACAUUACUGGGACUCAGACCACUCAAUGCGGGCUAGCCUUUUAUAACAGGUCAAUCAAGAAUACAGAGGAUACAAUCAAGAAAUACGAGUCCACAACCCGAUUGGUUCCAUGCAAUAAUCAGAUCACUAAUCACAAAUAAUACAACAUGUCAUUUUCUCCGGCCCGGCCAAAGGUGCGGUACAAGCAGCGUCGCGGUGAAAAAAAGUAGGAGCAAAACAGAGUCAUUUUCCAAUGUAGGGUUUUCACUCAUUUCCAACACUUUCCAACCCCUCAAUUAUAAUUAUAUAUACAAUGUUGGGACUAUCUAUUUAUAUGUUGAUAGACUUUUCUGAGCACCGGAUUAAAAUCCAACGGUUUGUCCUCGCAAAAAAGAAAAAUCCAACGGUUUGGUUUCAUCCAUUUAUGCUAUAAAAAGUGAAAUGAAGUUAGAGCAUUUAUUUGUCUACUUGGAACAUUUUAUUUUACUUCUACAACAUUUUUUUUUCUUAGACCAAAUAGGACAUGUUUUUGAUAGGAAAAUUGUCGUCCUUGGUUUUUCUAAAGAAUAUUCUAGUUCUCCACGUGGAUCAUCUUUCCCUAGUUGGAACAUUGCAAAUCCGGUAUGCUUCCUUUUUUUUUUGCAAAAGAUAUGUCGAUAGGUGAAUAGCGUUUACCUAUAAUGUAAUCUUACAUUUCUAUUUUCUACCAAAAACGUUGAAUAUUAAUAUAUCUAUGCAUAUUUGCAAGGCCACUCCUGCCCUCCUCCUCCC